AAACUCAUUGCGUCAUCGAGCGAUGCUCUCCCUCCGCCGACUCUCGCCUCUUCUCUCUCGAUCCCCCUCCACCGCCGCCUCGCCUCUCCAUCUCUCUCUCUCUCUCUCUCUCUCUCUCUCUCUCUCCACGAUCUAUUCUUCUUCAUUAUCUCUCUCUCCCUAGAUGGAAGACAAAUCCAUCCACAAUCUCUUCCUCUCCAUUAUCUACCUCGCCCUCACAGGAGAACAAAAUCGUUUAGAGCGGAAUCAAUUUUUGCCGUCUCCACGAAUUGGAUCCUGAAUCUUCUCACGUAUAAAUUUUGGAUGCUUUAUUGAGAUCAGGUCGGAGCACACGAACAAUGCCCAUCAUCGCUGCUCAAGAUUCUCCCACUCUGCAUGAAGUUUGUCUCUGGUCGGUUGCUGUCAUUGGGCAGGAUACACAUGCAUACACGGCGGACGCGGGAUUAACUCUAAUACCCUAGAGGGUAAACAAUCUUUGGUUGAAAACAAUGGUCUGCGAUAUACUCGAUGCGAAGGAUUCCUGGAAAGGAAACCAAAAAGACUAGGAUGGGAACACAUGUUGCAUUUUAUUCUGAUGAAGAAUUGGGAAUAAGGGCAUUCAGGAUAGAGAUGUGGCAGCAUUGAUAUAAUACUGGAAAACAAUGCUGAUGUUGAGCAUUCAGAAAUCAGAGGAACCAAGAUUAUUCGAAGAUCAACAUAAGUACGAGCACAAGCAAAUUCAGGAAUUGAAUAGGAUAAUAGAAAACUUCAAAGCAAGCGUUGAUUGCUGAUGAAGUCAUUGUAAACCAGCAUAAAAAAUUUGGGACAGGGAGCACAAGUCGUGUUAUGCAUCUUGAUGAAGAAUCAAAAACUAAGGGAUGAAAGGAAAUGAAUGAAUCAAAAUUCAUGGAAUAAAGAACAGUGAUGAAGAAGACCGCAAAUCAAAGACUGGAAGGUUCUCAAAGUCAUAAAGAUUCCAAACUGAGGACAUUGUGUAAUGGGGUUGAUAAACAAUCGGCGACCUGAGACAUUCCAAAACAUGGUGCAUCAAGGACUAAAAAACAAGUAGUGCAUUGAUAAAUAUUUAGUGACAUUUAGGAUUUUUCAAAAAUGUA